UGGCCACAAGGCGACGACGGGUAGCCGGCCUGAGAGGGUGACCGGCCACACUGGGACUGAGACACGGCCCAGACUCCUACGGGAGGCAGCAGUGGGGAAUAUUGCACAAUGGGCGAAAGCCUGAUGCAGCGACGCCGCGUGAGGGAUGACGGCCUUCGGGUUGUAAACCUCUUUCAGCAGGGACGAAGCGAAAGUGACGGUACCUGCAAAAGAAGCGCCGGCUAACUACGUGCACCCAGCCGCGGG
rnacentral:rRNA from 1 species